UUUGUCUGAUGUGGCGUCCCCAACAGUAAUAUUACUCUACUUCAUCUAUUUAUAUUUGAUUUUAUACCAAUUAUACCCUAAUUAAAAUCUCAAUUUCUUUCUUCUUUUCCAAUUUCUCUCUUCUUCGGCCUUUCAUGUCAAGCUUCUCUAAUUCUUCCAUGGCAUCUGUGGAUGAAGGUUGAUAUUGUGGGUGUGGUAAUGACGCUAUUAAAGACUUCAUGGACCCAAAUAAAUCCAGGUCGUAGAUUUUUUACUUGUAGAAUUUCAAAGAAAAUGAGUGGUUAUGACUAUUUUCUUUGGUAUGAAGAUCGACACCCUCCACAAGCAAACAAGGUAAUGUGGGGAUUGUUGAAAAGAAUAAAUGCUUUUAAUGGAAAAUCAAAAGCGAGCAAGAAAUAUAUUUAUUGGUGUUGUCGUACUGGUUGCUUAUGUUUGAAAUAUGGAAAUUAAAGCCUAAUUGUUAGUGUUUUUGAGGUUUUCUGUCUAGAACUAUUAUGAUGUUGUAUUUGGGAAUCAAUCUAGUAGUAUUUUGA